AUGGUUUUUUGUUUAAAUGUUUUUUCGCCUAAGGAUGGGUCUGCGGCCGAUUAGGUAGUUGGUUAGGUAACGGCUUACCAAGCCAUUGAUCGGUACGGGUUGUGAGAGCAAGAGCCCGGAGAUGGAACCUGAGACAAGGUUCCAGGCCCUACGGGGUGCAGCAGGCGCGAAACCUCCGCAAUGUGAGAAAUCGCGACGGGGGGAUCCCAAGUGCCAUUCUUAACGGGAUGGCUUUUCAUUAGUGUAAAAAGCUUUUGGAAUAAGAGCUGGGCAAGACCGGUGCCAGCCGCCGCGGUAACACCGGCAGCUCUAGUGGUAGCAAUUUUUAUUGGGCCUAAAGCGUCCGUAGCCGGUUUAAUAAGUCUCUGGUGAAAUCCUGUAGCUUAACUGUGGGAAUUGCUGGAGAUACUAUUAGACUUGAGACCGGGAGAGGUUAGAGGUACUCCCAGGGUAGAGGUGAAAUUCUGUAAUCCUGGGAGGACCGCCUGUUGCGAAGGCGUCUAACUGGAACGGUUCUGACGGUGAGGGACGAAAGUUAGGGGCGCGAACCGGAUUAGAUACCCGGGUAGUCCUAACUGUAAACGAUGCGGACUUGGUGUUGGGGUGGCUUUGAGCUGCUCCAGUGCCGAAGGGAAGCUGUUAAGUCCGCCGCCUGGGAAGUACGGUCGCAAGACUGAAACUUAA
rnacentral:rRNA from 1 species